rnacentral:tRNA from 1 species
GGGGAUAUGGUGAAAUAGGUAAACACGCUGGUCUCAAAAACCAGUGCCGAAAGGCUUCCCGGUUCGAUUCCGGGUAUCCCUACCA